rnacentral:rRNA from 1 species
UACAGAGGGGGCAAGCGUUGUUCGGAAUUACUGGGCGUAAAGGGCGCGUAGGCGGCCCUCUAAGUCAGACGUGAAAUCCCUCAGCUUAACUGGGGAACUGCGUGUGAUACUGGAUGGCUUGGAUUUGGGAGAGGGAUGCGGAAUUCCAGGUGUAGCGGUGAAAUGCGUAGAUAUCUGGAGGAACACCGGUGGCGAAGGCGGCAUCCUGGACCGACACUGACGCUGAGGCGCGAAAGCUAGGGUGGCAAACGGG